AUAGUUUGAUCCUGGUCAUAACUGUUUCCUGACGGCGUGCCUAACACAUGCAAGUCGAGCGAGAAAGCGGCUUCGGCCGUGAGUACAGCGGCGAACGGGUGAGUAACACGUGGAUAACCUAUCUGGGAGUGGGGGAUAACUCGGGGAAACCUGAGCUAAUACCGCAUUCGCUUUUCGGAUCGCGAUCCGGAUCGAAAAGGUGGCCUCUUCUUGAAAGCUACCGCUCCCAGCGGGGUCCGCGCCUGAUUAGCUUGUUGGUGAGGUAAUGGCUCACCAAGGCGACGAUCAGUAGCCGGCCUGAGAGGGUGAUCGGCCACACUGGAACUGAGACACGGUCCAGACUCCUACGGGAGGCAGCAGUGGGGAAUAUUGCGCAAUGGGGGAAACCCUGACGCAGCAACGCCGCGUGGAGGAUGAAGGCUCUCGGGUCGUAAACUCCUGUCAGGUGGGAAGAAAAGGCUCUGGUCAAUAUCCAGGGCUGCUGACGGUACCACCAGAGGAAGGUCCGGCUAACUCCGUGCCAGCAGCCGCGGUAAUACGGAGGGACCGAACGUUAUUCGGAAUUAUUGGGCGUAAAGGGCGCGUAGGCGGCUUAGAAAGUCAAAGGUGAAA
rnacentral:rRNA from 1 species